UUCAGUGUCCCACUGGCUAUUUAUGUUUACUGUUUUUGCUGAAGCACAGUGGAAGUGGCCAAUCCUCGGUCACCUUUAAAUAGCAUAUCGGUUUCCAGGGAUACCCGGGGGUAGCAUUUGAAUGACGUCAAUAUUCAUUGAUAGAGUAUUAUCGGCAGUAAUGAGUUCCUCACCAAUAGGAUUCGAUAAGCAGUCAGUUUAGCGAUAGUGGAGGGGUGAAUGAAAGAAAGCGUGGAAAGAGAAAUGCGGCAGGGAGUCACACUCUACACACGCUGGAAGAAAGAUAACUACAAUGACCUAAAUCACUGAGAUGGUUGGGUGAGAGAGGAGGCAGGAUGGAGUGUGAGACAAAAAGAGAGAGGGGAAGGGAGAAUACAAGACUUUAAUGAUCUGCUGAGGAGAAUCCGUGUGGAGUCCUUGGAGACCACUGGGCCAGUUUGAAGCAGCAUGGUCUCAUUUGGUUUGGACGGAGUGUGGCAGUCCAACUGAGCUCUGGAACCAUGCUGUCUAAAUGCCUGCCUGCUGCCGCCUUUAACUGCCCGUGUGUGUGUGUGUGUGUGUGUGUGUACUCAUGCCAUGUGGAGUGGCUAUGGAACAUGUGUGAAAGAAUAAAUCUGGUCUGUUAAGUUCCCCUGUUAAACCAUUAUGAUUCCAGCUUUGUCUUGUCACUCAAUUACCCAUUUCCCAUUUGCUUAAAGGUACUGUAAGCAAUGUUAGCUUUUGCCCCAUCUCUCUCCAAAAUCACACCCUACAAAGACAUGUCAGUAAAUCUGAAUGCUCUGAAUAGGCAGAGAGUUCCUCAAAGUUUUCUGAUUGGUUAAAUACUGUAAUAACAUCCCAUGGUCAGAUUCUUUUUUGCUGUUGGUAGAGUCUAAGGGCAUUUUCAGACCUCUAGCUAAUUUGAUUUGUUCCGGAACAGGGGGUAAAAUUGUUACACUGUUUCAUUGUCUGGUUGGUUUUGUGCGUUUUCACAAGUCAACAUUUCGAAACGGACCAAAAUUGUUGUAAUAAAAUUCACAUGUAAGCAAACUGUGCCCUAAUUGGUCAGAAUGUUUGUGCUCAGUUCUGGGAAUUAGCUCAUACAUCAAUAAUCCAAAUAUAUACAUCAAAAUGAAUUAUAUAACCGUAAAAAUGCAUCAACUGGUACUAAGUGUUGUUUAUGCCAUGGUUAUGUAAACCGCUGUAGCAUAGCACAGAAUGUGCAUUUUAAUGUAAGGUCAUGCUAGAAAUUAUCUUCAUUCGGAUGGAUAUGAUUUGUAAAAUUUCCGUCAUUUUCAUUUUUAUCUGUCAUUAUUUACUUGAGAAUUAUUUCUGCAUUAAAAAGUGCCUAUU